CCUACGGGAGGCAGCAGUGGGGAAUAUUGCACAAUGGGGGAAACCCUGAUGCAGCAACGCCGCGUGAGUGAAGAAGUAUUUCGGUAUGUAAAGCUCUAUCAGCAGGGAAGAAAAUGACAGUAACUGACUAAGUAGCCCCGGCCAACUACGUGCCAGCAGCCGCGGUAAUACGUAGGGGGCAAGCGUUAUCCGGAUUUACUGGGUGUAAAGGGGGCGCAGACGGCGAUGCAAGCCAGGAGUGAAAGCCCGGGGCCCAACCCCGGGACUGCGCUUGAAACUGCGUGGCUAGAGUGCAGGAGGGGCAGGCGGAAUUCCUGGUGUAGCGGUGAAAUGCGUAGAUAUCAGGAAGAACACCGAUGGCGAAGGCAGCCUGCUGGACUGCAACUGACGUUGAGGCCCGAAAGCGUGGGUAGCAAACAGGAUUAGAUACCCCAGUAGUC
rnacentral:rRNA from 1 species